GCUAUAUGGGACCAUAUGUGAUUAUAUGCUUUAGUUGUGGGCCCAUAUGGACAGUAGGCAUGGGAGAGCUAGAAGCUGCUAAUAGCUAUCAAUAUCUUUGAGAUUUUAUAUCUUUAGUUUCUAUUUUUUUGUAAUGCUAUUGAGUCAAUAGCUAGAUUUAGUAGGAAUUACUUAUUAUUAUUUACUUCUUACAGUC